GACGUAGGGCGCAAGCGUUGUCCGGAUUUAUUGGGCGUAAAGAGCUCGUAGGCGGUGUGUCGCGUCGGCCGUGAAAACCUGCAGCUUAACUGUGGGCUUGCGGUCGAUACGGGCAUCACUGGAGUUCGGCAGGGGAGACUGGAAUUCCUGGUGUAGCGGUGAAAUGCGCAGAUAUCAGGAGGAACACCCGUGGCGAAGGCGGUUCUCUGGGACGGUACUGACGCUGAGACGCGAAAGCGUGGGGAGCGAACAGG
rnacentral:rRNA from 1 species